AUUGAACGCUGGCGGCAUGCUUUACACAUGCAAGUCGAACGGUAACAGGCCGCAAGGUGCUGACGAGUGGCGAACGGGUGAGUAAUGCAUCGGAACGUGCCCAGUCGUGGGGGAUAACGCAGCGAAAGCUGUGCUAAUACCGCAUACGAUCUAUGGAUGAAAGCGGGGGACCGUAAGGCCUCGCGCGAUUGGAGCGGCCGAUGUCAGAUUAGGUAGUUGGUGGGGUAAAGGCCUACCAAGCCGACGAUCUGUAACUGGUCUGAGAGGACGACCAGCCACACUGGGACUGAGACACGGCCCAGACUCAUACGGGAGGCAGCAGUGGGGAAUUUUGGACAAUGGGCGCAAGCCUGAUCCAGCAAUGCCGCGUGCAGGAAGAAGGCCUUAGGGUUGUAAACUGCUUUUGUACGGAACGAAACGGUCUGGGUUAAUACCCUGGGCUAAUGACGGUACCGUAAGAAUAAGCACCGGCUAACUACGUGCCAGCAGCCGCCGUAAAAC
rnacentral:rRNA from 1 species